UCUCAACAUGAUGGCACUACAAUGCAGAAGAAGGAUGGAGGUGUUUCAGGGGCCAGGGAACUGAAACUAUCCAGCAAACUCCAUAGGAUUUGAAGUUACCCAGGCAAAGAAGACUCCAAAAUCCAUUGUUUAUGGAUGACUUCCAUUGUUUAUGGAUGUCAGGGUGACUUCAGAGUCUGCGACUGAAAAGUCAAGUGUCACCUUCCUACCAGUUGGAUGGAUAAAAUGAGCCUUAAAAAAAGAAACAACAGAAAACAACACCUCCCCCACCCCAAUCCGCAAACUGGAAGCCUUGGAAAUCUCCAAUGAACAGGCAAAAAGCAAAGCAAAUCAUAAUACUUGGGGAUUGACAAUCCACAUUUCAGCAGAGUGAAAUAAGUAUAUCCCAGCUAGACACCAGUCAGAAUCAUAUGUUCUGGAUACAGCAAGAAGAUCUUAUCAGCUAGGUGAUUUCAUGCCUUUAUUCAGGCUAAUUUUCCCUUGGGAGUGAGAAACCAUAAACCAAAACAACAAACUCCAGUUGUUGGAUUUUUUUUUUAAUCCAAAUUCAGCUCUGCUAGGCCAGCCCCAAAACAGUUGUUUUAGCAAGAUUAGCUCAUUUCCAAAUUCAUGGUACUAUUUUUGGCAUCCAGACAUGUGUACCUCUGCCAACUCUCCCCAAGCGACAGUACUUCUGAACUCUUUCAUGUUUUACAACUGCUCUGUGUUGUCUGAGGAUUUUGCUACAAGCGGGAGAAGACAUCACUUCAUUGGGUAGUUGGACAAUUUUUCUGCACUUCAUCAUUGCACGGCUGUGUUUUUACAGGGCAGCUAAUGCUCCCUUGGCACCCAGAAGAUUUGUGUGAGAAGACAACAAAAGGAGGUGGGAAUGGUGGGGGUAGGAAAUACAAUCCACUGUCAGUAUUCUUUAACUAUAUCAGCACUUUCUGAGGGAAGGACAACAGAGGGUUGGAAUUUAUUCUAUUCACCAUCAAUCACAAUGAGCCAAUAAUGGCCCAAGGUUUUUGUGAAGAGUCUGGAAAGCUGGGUAUGCAGGGCCACAGGUGGAAUUCCAUAAUCCUGCAAUUCUGGAGGUGGAAUUCUCCAUCGUAAGUGGAGGGCUCAGUGCUGUGACCCCUCUCUUCCUUCUGCAGAUUAAGUUCUAUGGCAUGGGCUCUUCACUGGCCAUCUGUCAGCAAUUUCUCCCCACCUCCAAUCCCCAGAGUGCAGGACUAAGAAAGAGGCUCACAACUUUUCAGAUCAGAUCUCAUUGCAUUGAUCACGCGUGUCAUCCCUCAACCUCCAAGAGACUCCAGGUCUGUGGAUCUGGUGCUGUAUCCACUAGAAAGUCUCCCAUUGUCAUUAGUGGGCAUUGGAUCAGGACCUACCUGGCCUGCUGGCUGGUUGCCUCAGCUUCCCUUCUUAGGUCUGUGGGCUCUGCCAUAUUCAACAGAAGUAACUCCUUACCACAGUACUGAAGAAAUGCAAUGCUCAUAGCUCUGAUACUCCUGGGCUAGCUGUAAGCACAGAGCGGGGAGAGAUGGCUACUUGAGGGUACACCUACACAGCCCACGGCAAUGCGCCUCCCAGCCCAGGUGGACAGACUCAUGCGGCUUGCACUACCAUGCUAAAAAUACUUGUGGAGACAUUGCAGGGUGGGCUAGAGCUCGGGCUCCGACGCCUGGAGAGGGGGUGGGUAUCCGAGCCUGAUCUCCAGCCUGAGCAGCAAUUUCAAAGCAUUGUCUACACAGCUAUUUCCAGAGUGCUACUGUGAGCCCCGCAACCCUGUGUCUGUUGACCUGGGCUGGGAGGCUCGCUGCCAUGGGCUGUGUAGACAUAUCCAAAAGUCAAGGAUGUUUUCAUCCUUGUUUUUCUUCCCUUCCCCCUUGAGUGUUUCCUAUAUUCCCCAGAUUGUUCCAGAUCUCUUACUUUAUGA